CAGUAGCCACGGGAAUACGAAGGGUGCAAGCGUUAAUCGGAAUUACUGGGCGUAAAGCGUGCGCAGGCGGUUUGUUAAGACAGAUGUGAAAUCCCCGGGCUCAACCUGGGAACUGCAUUUGUGACUGGCAAGCUAGAGUGUGGCAGAGGGGGGUGGAAUUCCGCGUGUAGCAGUGAAAUGCGUAGAUAUGCGGAGGAACACCGAUGGCGAAGGCAGCCCCCUGGGCCAACACUGACGCUCAUGCACGAAAGCGUGGGGAGCAAACAGGAUUAGAUACCCGGGUAGUCCCUGUCUCUUAUAC
rnacentral:rRNA from 1 species